UGGCUCAGUUAGAAGAGCAUGGUGUUUGCAACGCCAGGGUUGUGGGUUCGAUUCCCAC
rfam:Salmo salar isolate Sally breed double haploid chromosome ssa19, whole genome shotgun sequence.